rnacentral:misc_RNA from 1 species
GAUGAAGAACGUAGCGAAAUGCGAUAAGUAAUGUGAAUUGCAGAAUUCAGUGAAUCAUCGAAUCUUUGAACGCACAUUGCGCCCUUUGGUAUUCCAAAGGGCAUGCCUGUUCGAGCGUCAUUUGUACCCUCAAGCUUUGCUUGGUGUUGAGCGUCUUGUCUCUAGCUUUGCUGGAGACUCGCCUUAAAGUAAUUGGCAGCCGGCCUACUGGUUUCGGAGCGCAGCACAAGUCGCACUCUCUAUCAGCAAAGGUCUAGCAUCCAUUAAGCCUUUUUUUUCAACUUUUGACCUCGGAUCAGGUAGGGAUACCCGCUGAACUUAAGCAUAUCAAUAAGCGGAGGA